rnacentral:rRNA from 1 species
UAACACGUGGGUAACCUGCCUUAUAGUGGGGGAUAGCCUUUCGAAAGGAAGAUUAGUACCGCAUAAGAUUGUAGUAUCGCAUGAUAUAGCAAUUAAAGGAGCAAUUCGCUAUAAGAUGGACCCGCGUCGCAUUAGCUAGUUGGUGAGGUAAUGGCUCACCAAGGCGACGAUGCGUAGCCGACCUGAGAGGGUGAACGGCCACAUUGGGACUGAGACACGGCCCAGACUCCUACGGGAGGCAGCAUG